rnacentral:rRNA from 1 species
CGAAUGCUGACAUAAGUAACGAUAAAGCGGGUGAAAAGCCCGCUCGCCGGAAGACCAAGGGUUCCUGUCCAACGUUAAUCGGGGCAGGGUGAGUCGACCCCUAAGGCGAGGCCGAAAGGCGUAGUCGAUGGGAAACAGGUUAAUAUUCCUGUACUUGGUGUUACUGCGAAGGGGGGACGGAGAAGGCUAUGUUGGCCGGGCGACGGUUGUCCCGGUUUAAGCGUGUAGGCUGGUUUUCCAGGCAAAUCCGGAAAAUCAAGGCUGAGGCGUGAUGACGAGGCACUACGGUGCUGAAGCAACAAAUGCCCUGCUUCCAGGAAAAGCCUCUAAGCAUCAGGUAACAUCAAAUCGUACCCCAAACCGACACAGGUGGUCAGGUAGAGAAUACCAAGGCGCUUGAGAGAACUCGGGUGAAGGAACUAGGCAAAAUGGUGCCGUAACUUCGGGAGAAGGCACGCUGAUAUGUAGGUGAAGUCCCUCGCGGAUGGAGCUGAAAUCAGUCGAAGAUACCAGCUGGCUGCAACUGUUUAUUAAAAACACAGCACUGUGCAAACACGAAAGUGGACGUAUACGGUGUGACGCCUGCCCGGUGCCGGAAGGUUAAUUGAUGGGGUCAGCGCAAGCGAAGCUCUUGAUCGAAGCCCCGGUAAACGGCGGCCGUAACUAUAACGGUCCUAAGGUAGCGAAAUUCCUUGUCGGGUAAGUUCCGACCUGCACGAAUGGCGUAAUGAUGGCCAGGCUGUCUCCACCCGAGACUCAGUGAAAUUGAACUCGCUGUGAAGAUGCAGUGUACCCGCGGCAAGACGGAAAGACCCCGUGAACCUUUACUAUAGCUUGACACUGAACAUUGAGCCUUGAUGUGUAGGAUAGGUGGGAGGCUUUGAAGUGUGGACGCCAGUCUGCAUGGAGCCGACCUUGAAAUACCACCCUUUAAUGUUUGAUGUUCUAACGUGGACCCGUGAUCCGGGUUGCGGACAGUGUCUGGUGGGUAGUUUGACUGGGGCGGUCUCCUCCUAAAGAGUAACGGAGGAGCACGAAGGUUGGCUAAUCCUGGUCGGACAUCAGGAGGUUAGUGCAAUGGCAUAAGCCAGCUUGACUGCGAGCGUGACGGCGCGAGCAGGUGCGAAAGCAGGUCAUAGUGAUCCGGUGGUUCUGAAUGGAAGGGCCAUCGCUCAACGGAUAAAAGGUACUCCGGGGAUAACAGGCUGAUACCGCCCAAGAGUUCAUAUCGACGGCGGUGUUUGGCACCUCGAUGUCGGCUCAUCACAUCCUGGGGCUGAAGUAGGUCCCAAGGGUAUGGCUGUUCGCCAUUUAAAGUGGUACGCGAGCUGGGUUUAGAACGUCGUG